rnacentral:rRNA from 1 species
GUCCUCUAGAAUAUAAUUUGAGGUUUAACCUGCCCACUGAAAUUUUAAAUGGCCGCAGUAAUUUGACUGUGCAAAGGUAGCAUAAUCAUUAGUUUUUUAAUUAAAAGCUUGUAUGAAGGGUUGGACGAAGUAAAAUCUGUCUCUAUUUAAUUAAAAUUAGAAUUUAAUUUUUAAGUCAAAAAGCUUAAAUUUUAUUAAAAGACGAGAAGACCCUAUAGAUCUUUAUAUUAUUUAUAUUAAUUUUAUUUAAGAAUAAUUUAUUUUUUAUUAUAAAUAUUAUUUUAUUGGGGUAAUAGAAAGAUUAAAUUAAUUCUUUAUUUUUAUACAUUGAUUUAUGAUUAUAUGAUCCAAUUUUUUGAUUAAAAGAUUAAGUUACCUUAGGGAUAACAGCGUAAUUUUUUUAAAGAGUUCAUAUCGAUAAAAAAGUUUGCGA